GGGCCACACGGGGGUGCUGCGGCGGCGACGGCGACUCCGGACCGGGCUCCCUGACCCGUAACCUCCCUGCGACGCUGCCGAGCAGCCGCUUCCUCUUGUAAGUAUGAAUAUCGCCAAACCUGUCACUUUUUAUGGGGGAAACAUCUGCGAAAAUGGAGGCUGCCCUUUCCCCCUGCCGAUGACGGUCAAGGCUUCAUCUGUGAAAUAGCUGUAGGUGUAAACUGAUGGCUGCUGGCAUUUUCCUGGGACUUGUACAGAGAGCAAGCGUGAGCGCAGGAGGGGCAG